GUGAAUCAUCGAAUCUUUGAACGCACAUUGCGCUCUUUGGUAUUCCGAAGAGCACGCCUGUUUGAGUAUCGAAAACACCAUCACGACUUGGUCCCGGAGUUCGCUCCGGUCGACUUCGAGACGUGGAUUUGGAUUGUUCAGCAACUUUGCUGGCUAUCUUAAAGAAGAGCGUUGGAAGCUGGAUCUCCUUAUUGCUGGGAUCGCUGCCCGAAAUGUUAUGAAUUGAGAUCUCUCCCCUUCUUCUCCUUCGGGAGGGGGUCGAGGGAGUUCUUCAUUUUUCUUUCUUGCAGUUCGAGCCUG
rnacentral:misc_RNA from 1 species